AUAAGCAUACAGCUUCGCAUGAAGCCGUGUGAAAAGAAGUAUCGGUGUAAGAUGGCUCCGCAUCUGAUUAGCUAGUUGGUGAGGUAAUGGCUCACCAAGGCAACGAUCAGUAGCCGGCCUGAGAGGGCGACCGGCCACAUUGGGACUGAGACACGGCCCAGACUCCUACGGGAGGCAGCAGUGGGGAAUCUUGCACAAUGGGGGAAACCCUGAUGCAGCAACGCCGCGUGAGCGAAGAAGUAUUUCGGUAUGUAAAGCUCUAUCAGUAGGGAAUAGAAAAGAAGGUACCUGACUAAGAAGCCCCGGCUAACUACGUGCCAGCAGCCGCGGUAAUACGUAGGGGGCAAGCGUUAUCCGGAUUUACUGGGUGUAAAGGGAGCGUAGACGGCUGUUUAAGUCAGAAGUGAAAGCCCAUUGCUUAACGAUGGGACUGCUUUUGAAACUAAGGAGCUGGAGUGCAGGAGAGGUAAGUGGAAUUCCUAGUGUAGCGGUGAAAUGCUUAGAGAUUAGGAGGAACACCAGUGGCGAAGGCGGCUUACUGGACUGUAACUGACGUUGAGGCUCGAAAGCGUGGGGA
rnacentral:rRNA from 1 species